rnacentral:rRNA from 1 species
UACGAGGGGUCCUAGCGUUGUUCGGAAUCAUUGGGCGUAAAGAGCUCGUAGGUGGCUUAGUAAGUCAGGUGUGAAAGCCCAGGGCUCAACCCUGGAAGUGCACUUGAAACUGCAUAGCUUGAGUACGGUAGAGGUAAGUGGAAUUCCUGGUGUAGUGGUGAAAUACGUAGAUAUCAGGAAGAACACCCGUGGCGAAGGCGGCUCUCUGGAACGCAACUGACGCUGAGACGCGAAAGCGUGGGGAGCAAACAGG